UACGUAGGGGGCAAGCGUUGUCCGGAAUCAUUGGGCGUAAAGAGCGCGUAGGCGGCCCAGUCAGUCCGCUCUGAAAGUCAGGGGCUUAACCCCUGAAUGCGGGUGGAUACUGCUGGGCUAGAGUCCGGAAGAGGCGAGUGGAAUUCCUGGUGUAGCGGUGAAAUGCGCAGAUAUCAGGAGGAACACCGAUGGCGAAGGCAGCUCGCUGGGACGGUACUGACGCUGAGGCGCGAAAGCGUGUGGAGCGAACAGG
rnacentral:rRNA from 1 species